rnacentral:lncRNA from 1 species
UCAUUCAAUUUAAUUUAUAAACAAAUCAAUUCUUAAUGCAUAAUUAAUAAGUUUACUUAUUCGCUCCUCAUGGUAUUCAACAUUUGCUAAAUAGUCCAAAGUAUUUAAUAAUUAAAAUACAUCAAUUCUUUAUUUCAAUGUACCAUAACCGAAUGCUCCAUAUGCCUAUAUGAAUCCUUACAUAUCUUCAUUUCGCAAUUAACUUCCCAUUUAACAAUUUAUUUCAUUUUCAUACCAUAAACACAAAAUCACCUAACAUCUAAAUUUAAACCUCAAUAAUCAAACACCAACUCUUAUUUUCU